rnacentral:lncRNA from 1 species
CAAGUCCCCAGGUCAAAGAUCCCCCUCAGGUGGGGACUGGCUUCCCAGAAGCCUCCAAAACAAACAGUGAUAAGCAAAUGAGAUGUAGGAAGCUGGCUGGUAGCCAGCGUGAGGCUGGGUGCCAAGCUUGGGGUGGUGAGGGACCAGAAAAGACCGAGGGCUUCCACCACACCGGCUUGUCGGGGCAGCUCCGGGCUGAACCUCUCCCCCUCCCUCAGCGGCCAUCACCUCUGGGCAGGAUAAGAUGCAGGAGUGGGAACCCAGCCUGCCUGGGUGAAACCCGCCUGGGACCCGGGGCAGGUCAGGCUGGCAGGAGCGCUGUGAGGCUGGCAAAUUCCGUGCAGGAGGGAAACUUGGCCUCACGCCAUCUGCUCACCUGGCGCCAAGGCCCAGGGUGAUGACAGUGGUGGGGAGGAGUGGCUCAGGGUUGCUCGAGGUGCCAGGCAACAGACAACGCCAAGCCUCAGCGUCGCCCGUGCUUUCUGGGCCGCCAAGUCUCCAAGCAUCAGCCCACGCCAAGGAGAGCAGGGUCAACGGCAUGUGAAGUGGUGAGCGACCUACAAAGCUAACUCUGCUCUUGCUGUGGGCCACAGACCUUGGAAGGUGGGGCUUGGGGGUGGGGCGCAAGGACAACUAGCAUUUACUGAGCUUUUACUCUCCGUCAGACUCUAUUGGCUACAGCAUGUAGUAGCUCACAUUUCUCAGCACGACUCCGAGAUUAUGUCCAUUUUACCUCUGGGGAAACUGAGGCUUAUACAUGAUGGGUGGUGGAGGGGGGGCCCACAGCGGAAGGGCACACAGCUGGGGAGGGAUUCACCUGCUGGCCCAGAUGUCUGAGUCAGGCUGUUCCCACUGCCCUCGACUCUGCGUCGUCAAGGAACCUGCCCUCCAGGCCCCAGCCCCAGCCGUGGACCCGCCACUGCACUGCUCCAGCCCCCUUCUGAGGCCCACAGCACCCCCACCUCGUGAUCAAGUCCCCGGGACCCCGCCGAGUGUCCUGUCUCUCCAGGAAGUCGGUCACCCCGCUGUCUGGAGGAAGACAGAGCUGGGAGUGGAAUGUGGACUUCUCUUCUUUCUACCUCUUUCCCUGGGCUGGUUUUCUUCUGGGAAAUCGGGAUCGUGGCCCUCAUGGACCCUGAGACAGAGGCACACAGACGCAUCUGGUUUGCUCCCGCUGAGGGGAAUUCCGCAGGAGGAGGAACAGGAAAGCGUGAUUAGGCAGCCUGCUUUACUCUGCUGACCACCAG